GAUGAACGCUGGCGGCGUGCCUAAUACAUGCAAGUCGAGCGAACAGACGAGGAGCUUGCUCCUCUGACGUUAGCGGCGGACGGGUGAGUAACACGUGGAUAACCUACCUAUAAGACUGGGAUAACUUCGGGAAACCGGAGCUAAUACCGGAUAAUAUAUUGAACCGCAUGGUUCAAUAGUGAAAGACGGUUUUGCUGUCACUUAUAGAUGGAUCCGCGCCGCAUUAGCUAGUUGGUAAGGUAACGGCUUACCAAGGCAACGAUGCGUAGCCGACCUGAGAGGGUGAUCGGCCACCCUGGAACUGAGACACGGUCCAGACUCCUACGGGAGGCAGAAGUAGGGAAUCUUCCGCAAUGGGCGAAAGCCUGACGGAGCAACGCCGCGUGAGUGAUGAAGGUCUUCGGAUCGUAAAACUCUGUUAUUAGGGAAGAACAAAUGUGUAAGUAACUAUGCACGUCUUGACGGUACCUAAUCAGAAAGCCACGGCUAACUACG
rnacentral:rRNA from 1 species